GGUGAACGCUGGCGGCGGGCCUAAUACAUGCAAGUCGAGCGAACAGAUAAUAAGCUUUCGCCUCUGAGGGUGGCGACUGGCGGGUGAGUAACGCGUAGAUAACCUACUUAUAAUACGUGGAGAACUUCGUGAGACCGGUGCUGAUACCACAUCAUAUGUUCAACGGCAUGAUUCAGUAGUUCAUCACACUUUUCCUGUCUGUUAUAGAUGGAUCCGCGCCGAAUUAGCUAGUUGGUAAGGGAACGGCCUACCAAGGCAACGAUGCGUAGCCGACCUGAGAGGAUGAUCGGCCACACUGGAACUGAGACACGGUCCAGACUCCUACGGGAGGCAGCAGUGGGGAAUAUUCGGCAAUGGGCGCAAGCCUGACCCAGCCAUGCCGCGUGAGUGAUGAAGGUCUUCGGAUCGUAAAACCCUGUUAUUAGGGAAGAAAAGCUGUGUAAGUAAAUCCCGCUGUUCUGACGGUACCUAAUCAGAAAGCCCCGGCUAACUACGUG
rnacentral:rRNA from 1 species